CCCUUAGAUGUCCUGGGCCGCACGCGCGCUACACUGAACGGAUCAGCGCGUUUUCCCCUCCCGAGAGGGACGGGUAACCUGCUGAACCCCGUUCGUGGUAGGGAUCGGGGCUUGCAAUUAUUCCCCGUGAACCAGGAAUGCCCAGUAAGUGCAAGUCAUAAGCUUGCGUUGAUUACGUCCCUGCCCUUUGUACACACCGCCCGUCGCUACUACCGAUUGAACGUUUUAGUGAGGUACUCGGACUGAGCCUCAGAAGAUUCACGUCUUUUGUGCUGCUCGGGAAGAUUCCCAAACUUGAGCGUUUAGAGGAAGUAAAAGUCGUAACA
rnacentral:rRNA from 1 species